UCUUUAUGAAAUACAGAAAUCACUUUUAUUUACAUCUUGUCAACUGACCAAUUACAUUCAUAAAGUGUCCUGUGCGGUGAAAGGAUAGUAAAGUCACUGUUUCUAAAACCAUAAUGCAAUUUUAUUUAUUUUUUGCACCUAACGCUAACAAAUCUCGCGAUAUGACCGCGGGAUUCUAGGGCGCUGUUUUCAAAUUUCAUUUUCUUCCGGUUUUGUCCAGCACCACGAGAACAUGAGGACGCGGCGAAAAGUUGGACAAUGAUCACAAGACUCCUACCGUGAAUCUGGCGCAGUUUAUCAGGGGUUCCCUACACUGGUCCUCGAAGACAGCUGGUCAACAUGUUUUCCAGCAUCUCUGCCCAUCAUCCACCUGCUGUGUGUUCAGUCAGAGCUGAAAAUGACCAUUUCAGGGUGAAUAACAGUCAGUCAUCUGUCAGACAGAAUUCAAUACUCUUUCUCCAGGCCAACUAAUUGUCUCCAGUGCAAAUAAUCCUUUGUCAUCCCACUCCCUGAGGACACUCCAGAGUAGGUCUACAUGUUCUGUUAAGAGACUGGAUUCUGAGAGCGAGAUCCUGUGAAGUGUUCAUCAAAGCUGAAGAGAAGAACUGCAUCUGUGUUCAGCAACUGUCCGGAGUUGGUGGAGGUUCUGUCCGAGCCUGAUUAAAAGAUUGAUAAACAGAUGCUGUGAAGUGAGUCCAGAUGCUACAGACACAGAAAAAGAUGCCGCAAUGGAGGACAGCAAGCACCUUCCAGGAAGAGCUGAAGAAUAUUAGAAAUAAAGACUCUAAAAUAACAUUUCACUUGUGUUGUCCAUAUUUCUGUGUUGUUGCUUUGUUUAUUCUUAUUAGAUGUGUCUGUUUAACAGU